AAACCUAUAGUCAAUUAUGAUUUUAAAUUGCAAAUUUAAAGGUAAAGGUAUCUUUUAGGUUUUAAGGGUU
rnacentral:tRNA from 1 species